GUGCACGUGUACUCAAGGCAAUGUUGAAGGUAAUAUUUCACCGAAGGUAAUAUUGUGAUGCAGUACAGCUAGUCAGAUAUAGUAAAUUCAGAGAUUGCUUUUAAAACAUCAGAUUUGAAAGCUAAAGUAGAGGAGAAAUAACUAAGUCAGCUAGUGUAGACAAUUUCAUAUUCUUAGACCAAGUUAGUUAUAACUGUGAAAACAUUCUACAGAGUAAACCAUUGGAAAUUUGUACUCAAAAUUCAGCUAAGUAAAAUCAAUCUUCAGAAAAUAUUAGAGGGUGUGGACAUUAGCGAGUGUAUUCGUAUUUGUGCUUUUGCUAAUAGUUUUUUGGGAAGAAAAUAAUAAUAAUCUGGACACCACCAACCAUUACACUUAAGGGAUACAUUUUCCAUUGCCCAUUGAUUCAUGUACAUAAGCCAUUCAUCUAGAGAAUAUUUCUGUGUAUAAUUAUUCAUCUAUGGAAGCAAUGUAAUUAUUUUGAAAAUCCAUUGUAAAUUAUGCUCUAGAGAAAACUUCAGUGUAUAUGUAUGGCGUGUUUUAGUUUUUACUAAUAAUUUGUCCCGACAUCUAAAAUAGGUUGAUAGACAUUCUUUUAUUUUUACUGAUAUGUAUUGUUGUCAUACAAACAGGGAAAUUAAAUUUUUCGUUGAAAGCAAGGUAUUACUAUGACCAUGAAGUACACCCAUUUUUGUUGGAUGGCUGUUUGAAUGUUGGGCAAAUUCUGGUCGUUCAUGUACGUGUGCUAUGUACAAGGGGGCUAGGCUUUGUAAUAUAUUUCCUUGUAGGUAAGAAGAUUUUUGAGCAUUAUGUUGAUUGAUUUUCUAAUAGCAUAGUUAUAUUCGAGAACUUAUUGUAUGUCUGUACAACACACGUGAUGAUGGGAAGUGUCUUCUUUUUUGCGAAGAGAUGGCAAGUUUCCUUACAUGUGUUUUGUUUUCCACUUCUCAAUCACAGGCUUCGUUUGAUAAACUUUGUUUGAUCACAUCCAUUCUUUUUAGCUCUUUUAUUGUUACAUCUAUGCCAUUAAUUUUGUAUCGUUUUAUAAUUAUAUAAUAGAUUUUCAUGUUUACAUUUGUUGCAGUUCUCUUGUUUCUACUAUCUAUUCAUACCUACAAAUAUCUAAUUGUUUUGUAAAUAUGCUAGGUAUGAUUGUGUACUCGGCUACUUGGUGUUGUCAUCACAAUUUGGAUGACGUGAUAGUUUCCAUCACAAUUUGGAUGACGUGAUAGUUUCCAUCAAGGUUUCCAUCAGGAGGGCCGACAACAAGAACUUCAAUAGUUUAAGUGUUUUGUUUGUUCGAACUGGAUUGCACUGUUUUCUAAAUUGUUGAGUGAUAUAUUUUUAUCAAUCUAGGUUGUAAAAUAUCAUUUCAUGGAUGAUUUUGUAAACUACUAUGUUGUAGAUACUUGCGGAUGACUACAUAUUGAUUCAUACGUGUACACAUGACACUUUGUAAAUACCUUUCCUUUGUCUAAAUUGUCACUACAAUUUGAGUAAUGCAUUAUGC
rnacentral:lncRNA from 1 species